ACUACACACACUUCCUUUAUUUCAGGGACUACAGCAGUCUGAUGGUCAUCACACAAUAAUUCUGUCAUUUUUACACAUUAUUCUUUCUGUGCUGUAGUCAAAUCAAAUCAGUCCACAGCUUCAAAUCAUCCAAUCAGGUGUGAGUCUGGACCUGGUUUUCUACUGAACACACAAGUUCAUUAGAUCACCUGGUGUGAACAGGAACGAUGAUCAGACUCUUUGUCGCUCUUUGUGCUCUUUUUUCUCUCUUCACAGCUGUGAAAACUUCUCACAUCAAGGAGAUUGACAUGAUAACAGUAAAGCGUGGAGAAGAUGUAACUAUGAAGUGUAGCAUUAGCAGUGUCAAAAAGAAAGAAGUAGGUUGGUACAGACAGAUUUCAGGAAAAUUACCUCAGUAUAUUGCAAAACCAUACAAGAGCGAUUUGAGCUACAAAUUUGUUGAUGGAUUUAAUGAUGAUCGUUUCAGUAUUAGUGUAAAUGACAAUAAAUUUGAUCUCAAUAUUAAAAAAACAAGAGAAGAUGAUGAAGGAGAAUAUUUCUGUGGAGAAAUGGAAGUUAAUGAAAUGAAGUUCACAUCUGGAACACGUCUGCAAUUUAAAGACACGACACACCGUCUAACAUCUGGAACAACACACAGAGAGUUAUCCAGCAGCAGAGAAACAAAUAAAGAGAUGACACGCAGUAAUACAUCUGGAACUACACACGGAGUUUCAGCCAUCUGCAAUGAAACAAGUGAAAGCUGUACUGCUAACAUGCGUGUGUUCUUCUGGCUCUCCAUUUCAAGAAUUGGAGUUCUCAGUGUUACAGUUAUUAUAAUUACAAUAUGGUACAAGGUUUUAAAAUGAAUAUCUUAAACUUGAUAUAAUUGUCUUUUAACUGUUGUGUGUGUCGCUCUAACUGUAUUUUCCAGUAUGACUUUUUUUUUAUUUUUUAUUUCAGUCCUGUGUGUGUGUGUGUGUGUGUGUGUGUGUGUGUGUGUGUGUGUGUGUGUGUGUGUGUGUGUGUGUGUGUGUGUGUGUGUUCAUUUACAUUUAUCCAGAAAACUGGAUUAAAAACUAAUGUCUGAACUGAUAUUGUUCAGGGUUUGCUUUGAUUCUGCUGAACCUGAAGUAUUUCAUGAAAAAUGCAAUAAAAUUAGACUUUAAUAAGA